rnacentral:misc_RNA from 1 species
GAUGAAGAACGUAGCGAAAUGCGACAAGUAAUGUGAAUUGCAGAAUUCCGUGAAUCAUCGAGUCUUUGAACGCACAUUGCGCCCCCUGGUAUUCCGGGGGGCAUGCCUGUCCGAGCGUCAUUGCUGCCCUCAAGCACGGCUUGUGUGUUGGGCCUCCGUCCUCCUCCCGGGGGACGGGCCCGAAAGGCAGCGGCGGCACCGCGUCCGGUCCUCGAGCGUAUGGGGCUUCGUCACCCGCUCUUGUAGGCCCGGCCGGCGCUUGCCGACACAUCAAUCUUUUUUCCAGGUUGACCUCGGAUCAGGUAGGGAUACCCGCUGAACUUAAGCAUAUCAAUAAGCGGAGGA